GGGUUGUGAGGUUAAGCGACUAAGCGUACACGGUGGAUGCCCUGGCAGUCAGAGGCGAUGAAGGGCGUGCUAAUCUGCGAUAAGCGCCGGUAAGGUGAUAUGAACCGUUAUAACCGGCGAUACCCGAAUGGGGAAACCCAGUGUGAUUCGUCACACUAUCAUUAACUGAAUCCAUAGGUUAAUGAGGCGAACCGGGGGAACUGAAACAUCUAAGUACCCCGAGGAAAAGAAAUCAACCGAGAUUCCCCCAGUAGCGGCGAGCGAACGGGGAGGAGCCCAGAGCCUGAAUCAGCAUGUGUGUUAGUGGAAGCGUCUGGAAAGGCGCGCGAUACAGGGUGACAGCCCCGUACACAAAAGCGCAUGUGCUGUGAGCUCGAUGAGUAGGGCGGGACACGUGGUAUCCUGUCUGAAUAUGGGGGGACCAUCCUCCAAGGCUAAAUACUCCUGACUGACCGAUAGUGAACCAGUACCGUGAGGGAAAGGCGAAAAGAACCCCGGCGAGGGGAGUGAAAAAGAACCUGAAACCGUGUACGUACAAGCAGUGGGAGCACAGGUUUACCUGUGUGACUGCGUACCUUUUGUAUAAUGGGUCAGCGACUUAUAUUCUGUAGCAAGGUUAACCGAAUAGGGGAGCCGGAGGGAAACCGAGUCUUAAC
rnacentral:rRNA from 3 species